rnacentral:rRNA from 1 species
UACGAAGGGGGCUAGCGUUGCUCGGAAUCACUGGGCGUAAAGGGUGCGUAGGCGGGUCUUUAAGUCAGGGGUGAAAUCCUGGAGCUCAACUCCAGAACUGCCUUUGAUACUGAGGAUCUCGAGUCCGGGAGAGGUGAGUGGAACUACGAGUGUAGAGGUGAAAUCCGUAGAUAUUCGCAAGAACACCAGUGGCGAAGGCGGCUCACUGGCCCGGUACUGACGCUGAGGUGCGAAAGCGUGGGGAGCAAACAGG